rnacentral:rRNA from 1 species
UGACUNGAGUGCAGAAAGGGAGAGUGGAAUNCCAUGUGUAGCGGUGAAAUGCGUAGAUAUAUGGAGGAACACCNGUGGCGAAAGCGGCUCUCUGGUCUGUCACUGACGCUGAGGCUNGAAAGCGUGGGUAGCGAACAGGAUUAGAUACCCUGGUAGUCCACGCCGUAAACGAUGAGUGCUAGGUGUUAGGCCCUUUCCGGGGCUUAGUGCCGGAGCUAACGCAAUAAGCACUCCGCCUGGGGAGUACGACCGCAAGGUUGAAACUCAAAGGAAUUGACGGGGGCCCGCACAAGCGGUGAGCAUGUGGUUUAAUUCGAAGCAACGCGAAGAACCUUACCAGGUCUUGACAUCCCGAUGCUGUUCUUAGAGAUAGGAAGUUACUUCGGUACAUCGGAGACAGGUGGUGCAUGGUUGUCGUCAGCUCGUGUCGUGAGAUGUUGGGUUAAGUCCCGCAACGAGCGCAACCCUUAUUGUUAGUUGCCAUCAUUAAGUUGGGCACUCUAGCGAGACUGCCGGUGAUAAACCGGAGGAAGGUGGGGAUGACGUCAAAUCAUCAUGCCCCUUAUGACCUGGGCUACACACGUGCUACAAUGGUCGGUACAACGAGUUGCGAGCCGGUGACGGCAAGCUAAUCUCUGAAAGCCGAUCUCAGUUCGGAUUGGAGGCUGCAACUCGCCUCCAUGAAGUCGGAAUCGCUAGUAAUCGCGGAUCAGCACGCCGCGGUGAAUACGUUCCCGGGCCUUGUACACACCGCCCGUCACACCACGAGAGUUUGUAACACCCGAAGUCGGUGAGGUAACCUUUU